rnacentral:rRNA from 1 species
GACGAACGCUGGCGGCGUGCUUAACACAUGCAAGUCGAACGGAAAGGCCCUGCUUUUGUGGGGUGCUCGAGUGGCGAACGGGUGAGUAACACGUGAGUAACCUGCCCUUGACUUCGGGAUAACUUCAGGAAACUGGGGCUAAUACCGGAUAGGAGCUCCUGCUGCAUGGUGGGGGUUGGAAAGUUUCGGCGGUUGGGGAUGGACUGGCGGCUUAUCAGCUUGUUGGUGGGGUAGUGGCUUACGAAGGUUUUGACGGGUAGCCGGCAUGAGAGGGUGACCGGCGACAUUGGGACUGAGGUACGGACCAGACUCCAACGGGAGGCAGCAGGGGGGAGUAUUGCACAAUGGGCGGAAGCCUGAGACAGCAACGCUGGGUGCGGGAUGACGGCCUUCGGGUUGUAAACCGCUUUCGCCUGAGACGAAGCGUGAGUGACGGUAAUGGGUAAAGAAGCACCGGCUAACUACGUG